rnacentral:rRNA from 1 species
CAAGGCCAAGAUCGGUAGCCGGCCUGAGAGGGCACACGGCCACACUGGCACUGAAAUACGGGCCAGACUCCUACGGGAGGCAGCAAUGGGGAAUCUUGCACAAUGGGGGAAACCGUGAUGCAGCGACGCCGCGUGAGCGAUGAAGCCCUUUUGGGUGUAAAGCUCUUUCGGCAGGAACGAUAAUGACGGUACCUGCAGAAGAAGCUGCGGCUAAUUACGUGCCAGCAGCCGCGGUAAUACGUAGGCAGCCAGCGUUUUUCGGAGUUACUGGGCGUAAAGAGUAUGUUGGCGGUUUGGUAAGUCUGGUGUGAAAUCUCCCGGCUCAACUGGGGGGGUGCGCCGAAAACUGCGAGGCCAGAGUGCGGGAGAGGAGAGCGGAAUUCAAGGUGUAGCGGUGAAAUGCGUAGAUAUCAGGAGGAACACCGGCGGUGUAGACGGCUCUCCGGACCCGAAUCACCGUUGAGAUAGCAAACGCCAGUAGCAAACGAGGAUUAGAACCUCAUCGUCC